UAAUUGAUGUUUAGAGAGAAAACUACUUCAUAGCCCAUAUAUGUAUUGAAAGUGAAAAGUGAAAGUGAAAUUGCUCAGUCGUGUCCGACUCUUUGCAACCCCAUGGACUGUAGCCUACCAGGCUCCUCAGUCCAUGGAAUUUUCCAGGCAAGAGUACUGGAAUGGGUUGCCAUUUCCUUCUCCAGGGGAUCUUCCCAACCCAGGGAUCAACCUGGGUCUCCCGCACUGCAGGCAGAUGCUUUACCGUCUAAGCCACCAAGGAAGCUAAAUCUAUAUUCAAAGGUAUGUAGCUGAGACAGACUUUGGAGGACCUAACCUGACAGUGAUCUCCUGGCUAUGCUUCUUACAGGUGGGCUGCAUGUCCUUACUUGGUGGAGGAUCUAGAAAACACAACCCUAC
rnacentral:tRNA from 1 species